rnacentral:rRNA from 1 species
UACGUAGGGUGCAAGCGUUGUCCGGAAUUAUUGGGCGUAAAGAGCUCGUAGGCGGUUUGUUGCGUCGGCUGUGAAAUCCCGAGGCUCAACCUCGGGUCUGCAGUCGAUACGGGCAGACUAGAGUUCGGUAGGGGAGACUGGAAUUCCUGGUGUAGCGGUGAAAUGCGCAGAUAUCAGGAGGAACACCGGUGGCGAAGGCGGGUCUCUGGGCCGAAACUGACGCUGAGGAGCGAAAGCGUGGGGAGCAGACAGG